CUCUCUCUCUGUGUGUCCCCCUCCCUCUCUCCCUCCUUCUUCAUCUUCUUCCAAACUCCUUCUUUCCUUCCUUCUUGUGCCAAUUUGCCUUGAUGCUGAUUACCACUAAUGCGUGGGGCUGCGCUUUUAUGGGUCUUGCUUUCUAUUUAUUUUAUUUUUUUAGGGGAAGGGGAGGAGGCUGCAGCAAAGGAAGGCUGGGAUUUAAAAUCAGGACUUCUCCUCGGUCCCCUCUUUUUUUCAGGCCUCCGGUUCCAAAGUUUUUGGUGUCUUUUUUGCAGCAAAUGGGGAAAGAGUCAGAGAGAAUUGCCCAGCCUAGCUGGGAGGGUUGAGACAUUCUUCUGCAAACGCCACUCAGGAAGACCACUCUCUCACUCUCUCCCCCUCUCUCUCCCUUUCUUCUUUCCUUUGCUGAUCCAGAUUUUCCCCCACCCGGGCAUUGCCCCCCCCAUUUUUAUUUGUUUCUCUAUCCCACAUUGCAGCCCGCAUCGAUAACCCAGUCCACUUCAGUUUGCUGAAGGAAAGAGAUCCGGUGGGUUGGACAAAUCUUUUACCUCCAGCUACAAUAGUUCAGGCCUAAGGCGAGCUGCACCCCCCUCCACACUUGCUGGAAAUAUCCUUUUUAUUUCAAUGUAAUCGGAGCCGAAUAACUAUGAUGGAAAGCUGGGGUGAAAAAACCAACCACACGGGGACAUUCUAAUAGGAUUCCCCAUAAAAGGAAAAUCCGCAGAUUUAAUUAUGACGCAGCAUCUUCGGCACGGCGGACGCAGAGAUGUCCCUGGACUUUUGUGUGUGUGUGUGUGUGUGUGUGUGUGUGUGAAGUUCUGGAGAAGAGCUACCAGGUGUAGCAGAGCCGCCGACUCUCAGUGACCGUCCAAAGUCGAAGCCUGGGUCUUUCUACCUGAGGCUCCAGAUCACACACACAAAACCCCCACUCUGCCCACGGCUCAGUUAUCAAUAAAAUCAACCUUUAUCACUUGGUUCCUAGGUUUCUGUUUAUGGAAGGGCUCCAGUCAGGGGGAAAAUCCAAUUUGUACUUUUGGAUGGCUACCUGGGUUGUAGCACUGGCGAAGAGGAGGCUUAUACUGUAUAUUCGCACCCAAGCAACCGAUGCUGCCUUCAGAGGGGUCUGGAUCUAAAUUUUAUUUUAUUUUAUAAGUGUGUAAAGCUGUCCAGUUAUUAAAAGUCGAUCAUUAAAACAAAUUGGAAGAGAAA